ACGAGUUUUGAGUGAAAUCCAAUCCCUAAAACAUGAAAUACACCAACCACUCCAUUUACGGAACGAAGUUCGUAAGAACUUGAAUUGUCCAAUUUCUUUGGCGAAUCAAUAUCGGACUGAGCCCAACACAUGGGCAACGCCAUAGUAUGCUGGGAGGAGUCAAUUGGUGUGUUUUGAGGGAAAUCAAGUCGGUAAAACUAUGCAAUACACCAACCACUCCAUUACAGAACGAACUUCGUACGAACUUGAAUUGUCCAGUUUCUUCGUUCGAUUGGUAUCGGAUUGAGCCCAAAAC
rnacentral:lncRNA from 1 species